rnacentral:rRNA from 1 species
GAUGAACGCUGGCGGCGUGCUUAACACAUGCAAGUCGAACGAAGCAUUUCCUUUUCUUCGGAAAAGGAAAUGACUGAGUGGCGGACGGGUGAGUAACGCGUGGGUAACCUGCCUCAUACAGGGGGAUAACAGCUGGAAACGGCUGCUAAUACCGCAUAAGCGCACAAUGCUGCAUGACAUAGUGUGAAAAACUCUGGUGGUAUGAGAUGGACCCGCGUCUGAUUAGCUAGUUGGUAAGGUAAUGGCUUACCAAGGCGACGAUCAGUAGCCGACCUGAGAGGGUGACCGGCCACAUUGGGACUGAGACACGGCCCAAACUCCUACGGGAGGCAGCAGUGGGGAAUAUUGCACAAUGGGCGAAAGCCUGAUGCAGCGACGCCGCGUGAGCGAAGAAGUAUUUCGGUAUGUAAAGCUCUAUCAGCAGGGAAGAAAAAAAUGACGGUACCUGACUAAGAAGCACCGGCUAAAUACGUGCCAGCAGCCGCGGUAA